AAGACUAUACUUUCAGGGAUCAUUUCUAUAGUAUCUAACUGGAGAAAUGCACUCGAAAGUGAUUGGCCGAACGAACCACGAGGAAGAGGCGAAGUGUUCUCUUCUGAGCGCGAAGCGAGCGGGCGGUGCCUCUUUUGGUGGCUGCCGCCCGCUAUUGAUGACCGUUCCGCCUCUUCUUGGCGGAGAGGUCGGAGGGAGAGAACGCAGUCUGAGUGGU